UCAGAAUGAACGUUGGCGGCGUGGAUUAGGCAUGCAAGUCGAACGGGCCGCAAGGCCAGUGGCGCAAGGGUGAGUUAGGCGAUGGCAACCAACCCCGCGAUUGGGCAUAGCCGAGGGAAACUUCGGGUAAUUCCCAGCGAUGUUCAGGACAGGCAUCUGUUUUGAACCAAAGGUGCGAUUCCGUCGCGGGACGGGCCAUCGUGGUAUUAGAUUGUUGGCGGGGUAACGGCCCACCAAGUCGUUGAUGCCUACCGGGCGUGUGAGCGUGGCCCGGCACACUGGGACUGAGACACUGCCCAGACUCCUACGGGAGGCUGCAGUCGAGAAUCUUCGGCAAUGGGCGCAAGCCUGACCGAGCGACGCCGCGUGGAGGAUGAAGGCCCUCGGGUUGUAAACUCCUGUCGAGGGGAAUGAAGGGGUCGUGAAGGACGAUCCUUGACCGAACCCUGGAGGAAGCACGGGCUAAGUUCGUGCCAGCAGCCGCGGUAAGACGAACCGUGCGAACGUUAUUCGGAAUCACUGGGCUUAAAGCGCGUGUAGGCGGAUCGGCGCGUCGUUCGUUGAAAGCCCCCGGCUCAACCGGGGAAUCGGCGGCGAUACGGCCGGUCUUGAGGAGCGCAGGGGAACCUGUAACUUCCGGUGGAGCGGUGAUAUGCGUUGAUAUCUGAAGGAACGCCCGUGGCGAAAGCGAGGUUCUUGACGCUAGUCGACGUUGAGACGCGAAAGCUAGGGGAGCAAACGGGAUUAGAUACCCCGGUAGUCCUAGCAUGUAACCGAUGACCAAAAGGCAGCGGAUUCGUCGAUGGAUUCGCUGCCGCAGGGAAACCGUGAAGUGCUCCGCCUGGGGAGUAUGGCCGCAAGGCUGAAACUCAAAGGAAUUGACGGGGGCUCACACAAGCGGUGGAGCAUGUGGCUUAAUUCGAGGCUACGCGAAGAACCUUAUCCUGGGCUUGACAUGCGGGGAUUAGGCGGCGGAAACGUCGCUGACGCUCGCAAGAGUGGAACCCGUGCAGGUGCUGCAUGGCUGUCGUCAGCUCGUGUCGUGAGAUGUUGGGUUAAGUCCCGUAACGAGCGAAACCCCUGCGUUUAGUUGCCAGCGCGUUAUGGCGGGGACUCUAAACGGACCGCCGGCGUGAAGCCGGAGGAAGGCGGGGACGACGUCAAGUCCUCAUGGCCCUUAUGCCCAGGGCUGCACACGUGCUACAAUGGCGCGGACAAAGCGAUGCCAUCUCGCAAGAGCUCGCUAACCGCAAAAACCGCGCCCCAGUUCAGAUCGCGGGCUGCAACUCGCCCGCGUGAAGCCGGAAUCGCUAGUAAUCGCGGAUCAGCACUGCCGCGAAGAAUGUGUUCCUGAGCCUUGUACACACCGCCCGUCAAGCCACCAAAG
rnacentral:rRNA from 1 species